GAAUUGAAUGUUGUCAUCUAUCCCCAAACUGAAUUUUGAACACUAGUAAAUCUCUAUGCCUUUAUGACUGCAGACUAAACACUGAGAACCUGAAACAGGGGUAAACAGUGGAAUGCUGCACUUAGACUACAUCAGCAACUCGGAGACCUGAACUUCCCCAUUAAUCUCAGUGUUCUUUUAGAUGCUCGGUGAUGACAAUAUAAAUGGCAACAUCUUCAUUAACUAUUUCACGGAUACCAGAUUAUGUGAGAAAGGCGAAGAAGGAUCACAGAUUUGCAGUCUACUGCAAGGACAUGAAAACAGAAUCUUUCCCCAACAACCUAGCUAAGAGGAAAAAAAAAUAUCCAGGCCAGUGGCAGGAUAUUUAAGUUACCCAGAGGAAGGAGAAAUGAACUGAAGCACAAGACUUUGGUUACCGUGGAUAUUCUUCCAUCACUGUGGCUUCCUCUAAGAAACUGAAAGGCACACAUUGGGUAUAAUAUCUCCAAUAAUACUGAAUGCUAGGGAGAUUUUUUGAA